GCGGAAAACUUUACAUCCCCGGGGGGCGGAGAAUCUGUACCGCGCAUGCGUGCCAGCCGCGGGUAUAAGAGCCCAUGCGCGGCUUCCGUUGUUCUCUUUGUGGUGCGGGACUUGGCUGUCGUGGUGUUCGCUGUGCAGCUCUUCAUCUAGGCGGUGGUCCCGGGGUCCGUGUAGCGUCAGCUGUGUGCCUUCUCUGUCAGGAGCUGUAGUCCUGCCUGCUAGUGACCUGUCGGUAGCUUCUAGCACAUGGAGCGGAGAUCACGUGGCCCGCGGAGGCGCCUGCCCUGCCGCCCGGCCUGGUGUGUUGGUGUCUCUCCUGAGGGUGCUAGAUCAACAUACCAGACAUGAGUAGUGUUGGUGUCUCUCCUGAGGGUGCUAGGACAACAUACCAGACAUGAGUAGGGGAGAAUGGAGCAGAGAUCACACUCCCUGCAAACAAGCCUGCUCUGUGGUGUGAUGGCGUCCUGUCUGCAAAGAGUUAAAGGGUCAUCGUGGCUGACAUGAUCAGUGAUGGAGUCUGUGGCAGAUGUGGGGUCAGUGUGGCAAACAUGAGCAGUAAACCUGUCAUGGUGCUGAGGAGAUCCAGCCAGUUGUAUCUGAUAUGGAGAACAAGCCUGGGGAUAUGGCUGCUCAUGUGAUGUGAAGGACAGAAAAGGCUCGGGUUGCAGUAACCUCACUACCCCAAUCCUAAUGAAGGGUGAAGAAAAUGGGCCUGCAGCUUCCAAAGAACCAGGUGUUUCCACACUAAUCCUCCAUCCAUAUGUGAAGGAUGUGCCCAGGGGGUUUAUGGGGCUGAUUACUCUGGAUCUGGUGUUAUCCUUUUCUGGGGUGAAUAAAUAAAAGUUAAGUUU